UGGGGAAUCUUCCGCAAUGGACGAAAGUCUGACGGAGCAACGCCGCGUGAGUGAUGACGGCCUUCGGGUUGUAAAGCUCUGUUAAUCGGGACGAAUGGUUCUUGUGCGAAUAGUGCAAGGAUUUGACGGUACCGGAAUAGAAAGCCACGGCUAACUACGUGCCAGCAGCCGCGGUAAUACGUAGGUGGCAAGCGUUGUCCGGAAUUAUUGGGCGUAAAGCGCGCGCAGGCGGAUUGGUCAGUCUGUCUUAAAAGUUCGGGGCUUAACCCCGUGAUGGGAUGGAAACUGCCAAUCUAGAGUAUCGGAGAGGAAAGUGGAAUUCCUAGUGUAGCGGUGAAAUGCGUAGAUAUUAGGAAGAACACCAGUGGCGAAGGCGACUUUCUGGACGAGAACUGACGCUGAGGCGCGAAAGCCAGGGGAGCGAACGGG
rnacentral:rRNA from 1 species